GCCCACUUGCAACUCGGCUUGAAUCUGCUGACAACGUGCCUCGGAUUCGGAUUCGGAUUCCCUGCUCCCCCCCUGAGGUUCUUUUUUUCAGUUUUGUUCUUUUAACUCAUUUGGGGUCCUCUCGUCUAAUUCAUGUACAUGUCAAAAAUCGUCGUUGCAUUAUGAGAGUCGAGAGUUGGAUCCAGAUAUAUAACUGAAGUCGCCGACGGAUUUGGUCACCAAAGGCUAUCUUAUCACCAAAAACAGCAGCAGCAGGAGCAGAAAAACAAAAAACAGAAAACCGAAAAGAAACAGCAGAAGCAGACUGACUGCAAUUGUUUGUCCAGA